GCCGAUUUAACUUAGCAGACAAAGUAACUGACUUGUAAUCAGCAAGUCACCAGUUCGAUAUCGGUAGUCGGCACCA
rnacentral:tRNA from 1 species